UGUUCUAGUCUUCUGCCAUUUAAAUACGAAUGUAGGCAGGAGUCUUUCUUCCAGUUUCAAGUGCAGUAUUGUCAUUACAUGUGCAAAAGAAAGUGUUUCUUUUGCUUCUGCAAGGCAGCAGAGACAGCUGUUGGUCUGAACUUCUGUCUGUUCUGAGAACUGACAUGCGUUUCAAGUUUUAUAUUCCUUUUUUAAAUCAGAAUUUGGUCACUGAUCACGUGGUUUCAUAAAAGCAGGAGUUGUGCAUCUCUCAAAGUUGAGCCACAGUGUAUUUGAUGCCAUUAUCAAGAGUUGUUUUAAGACUUACCUAAGGAAAAGUUUGAACAGACAACUUCCAAGGCUAACUUUCACUGGACUAUCACGUACAGUAAAAUUCCGUAGUGCUAGUCUCCUCUCAGGUCAGCAUUACCCAUUUUAAGUGUGUGCAUUUCUUUGAAGUUUUAAUGCUAAGGUAUCUCUGAAGUGUCUGGUAGAGUGAUGGGAGUUUCUUCCAGCUUGCAACAAAACACACGUAAACUCACAAUACUGGAGAAGAGAGUUUACUGCAAGCAUAAGUAUGUUCUGCUUUAAUCAGUAUAAAACAACAACAGUACAAAUGUUGAGCACUUACGGAUGAAGGACAAAUUUCAUUCAUUUACAGUAAAAGCUUUACUUUUUCAGGAACUUUUCUUCCCAGAAAUAAUGCGCUGUUUGCGUGGUGAACAGAAUACUUGGCCUUUUAACUUCAGCACUUACGUUCUUUCACUAUUUCUGUACAGCAUUUGUGGGAAAAUAAUAAAAAAACAGUAAGUCAGGAGACUUAUGCACACUAAGGUGUGUAACAGUAGGGUGUUUUCUGCUCCUGAAACAUUUUCAGAAAUCUAGGUAUGUUUUUGCUUCGUGUUUUUUUUUUUCCCUCCCCUCCAUCAUGCAGGACGUGGAAAACCAUGAAGUGGUGACAGCCCAAGCUGAAGUUGCAGUAUUUCAGGUAGAUCUCUGAUGAAGCGUGCCGACAAUCCCCACUACCAGUGGCUGAGCAUACUCUGCGUUGCAAGCCCCAGCAAAACAAAAUAAAACCCACACUUAAUGGAAUUUUUUUGUUUACAGUGGCAUCACAUUAAAUACAACCUGUCAGUAGUGUCACAGAAAUUAUUACCCUAGAUCAAACCAGUGGUUUGUCUCUGUCUGCCAGUGCCAAUUGCUUUGGGAAAACAGUAAUUUCCACCAAAUAGUUAAAGCCAGUGGGAUAGCCACACCAUCCCAACUUCUCAGGUGUAUACUUCCCUUGUGAGCUGUACUUUCCCAUGCUGUAACUUUGCCUCUAAACAAAGUUUUUUGAAAAGUUCUUCCCUGCCAAAUUAGAAUUAAAUGAAAUUAUCUUGCCUGGCUUCAGAUAAAAAGGGGUCCUUGGGGUUGUCCUCUGAGCAGGGGGAAGCCUGCAUGUGGUCAGUUGAGGUAUUUGAGGUAUUUUAGUUCCAAACAGAAACUGAGGUACAAAAGCUGGAGGUGAGAAACCUGGCCAGCUGGGUAACAGCAGACAGGCACCCAAAAAGAGAAAAGUAAUUCUGCCUGCUGUGAAGCUGUUAAUUCCUGCAGAUCUCCGUCGUCCACAUGUAAGCACAGAACCAAAGGCACGGUCAGUCAUCUUCAUCCAGUGCCUGGCUCACCAAGGAAAGGGCCUGGGCCAUUACCAGUAACAACAACUCUUCUAGAUCAGAAGAACGAUUGAUUGGGCAACCAAGUGCCACAUUUCAGAUUUGUGCAUAAGGAUAAUGAGGUGAAAUUAUUUCAAGCACAUGAAAACACAACCAAAAAGAUCCUUCAGCCCUAUUUGGGGUUUAAGAAGAAGUACAAGUAAAGAAACUUUCAGUUACUACAUUAACUUGGGAAAGUGUCUAUCCACAACGCAUCAAAUCAAUUAAUACAUACUUCUAUGGUAGAAGGACAGGUUUGAAAAAGCCUGCAUUUCAGGAAAUGCACUUCCCAAAGAACUAUUAAUUUUUCUGUUCCCCAGAACAAACAGGAAAUAAAUAAAUGUAGCCAAAUUCCUGAA